AUACGGAGGGUGCGAGCGUUAAUCGGAAUUACUGGGCGUAAAGCGUGCGUAGGCGGUUUGUUAAGUCAGAAGGGAAAGCCCUGGGCUCAACCUGGGAACGGCUUUUGAGACUGGCAGACUCGAGUUGAGUAGAGGGGAGUGGAAUUUCCGGUGUAGCGGUGAAAUGCGUAGAGAUCGGAAGGAACACCAGUGGCGAAGGCGACUCCCUGGACUCAAACUGACGCUGAGGUACGAAAGCGUGGGUAGCAAACAGGAUUAGAAACCCUAGUAGUCC
rnacentral:rRNA from 1 species